GACGAACGCUGGCGGCGUGCCUAAUACAUGCAAGUUGAGCGAUGAAGAUUGGUGCUUGCACCAAUUUGAAGAGCAGCGAACGGGUGAGUAACGCGUGGGGAAUCUGCCUUUGAGCGGGGGACAACAUUUGGAAACGAAUGCUAAUACCGCAUAACAACUUUAAACAUAAGUUUUAAGUUUGAAAGAUGCAAUUGCAUCACUCAAAGAUGAUCCCCCGUUGGAUUAGCUAGUUGGGGGGGAAAAGGCUCACCAAGGCGAUGAUACAUAGCCGGCCUGGGAGGGAGGUCCGCCACAUUGGGACUUGGACAACGGCCAAACUCCCACGGGAAGCAGCAGUAGGGAAUCUUCGGCAAUGGACGAAAGUCUGACCGAGCAACGCCGGGUUGGUGAAGAAGGUUUUCGGAUCGGAAAACUCUGUUGGUAGAGAAGAACGUUGGUGAGAGUGGAAAGCUCAUCAAGUGACGGUAACUACACAGAAAGGGACGGCUAACUACGUG
rnacentral:rRNA from 1 species